rnacentral:rRNA from 1 species
UACGAAGGGGGCGAGCGUUGUUCGGAUUUACUGGGCGUAAAGGGCGCGUAGGCGGCGGGUCAAGUCGAGUGUGAAAGCCCCGGGCUCAACCUGGGAAUUGCGCUCGAGACUGGUCUGCUUGAGUUCGGGAGAGGAGCGUGGAAUUCCCAGUGUAGAGGUGAAAUUCGUAGAUAUUGGGAAGAACACCGGUGGCGAAGGCGGCUCUCUAGUACGGUACUGACGCUGAGACGCGAAAGCGUGGGGAGCGAACAGG